AAAGAAAAGAAAAAAAAAGAAAGUACAAGAUAAAAUGCUCUAAGUGCCAAGGAGAGAAACAAAAAAAGUAAUAGAGCCCACUUAUGAUGGAGAUCAGAGGGAGAGAGAGGAAUCAGAGAAGGCUUCACAAAUGAAUUAACAUCUGUCCUGUUUUGAAGGAUGGGGAAAGUUCUGAUUAACAAAUUUAGAGGGAAGGUGUGUAGGUGAGGUAAAAGUACAAAGGCAGAAAUAUAUAAUGUGUUCAGGAAAACAGUGAAUUUGGAGCCUAGAACACAAAGGAGUCAAGGCUAGAAAGCUGAUCUAGGAUAAUAUUAUGGGAGGCUAUGAAUGAAUGAACAAAUAAAUGAAUUAAUUAAUUUUUAGAGGCAUUUAUUAAGAACUUGCUCUGUACCAAGCUUUGUCUUAAGCAUUGAGGAUACAAAAGGAAAACAGAGAUAGCUUUUAUUCUCAAGGACUCCUAUGGAGGGAGAUGAUACAUGGAGCAAGAUUAAUAUAAAGAUAUGGUGGUAGAAUGCCAAUGCAUGGCAGAUGGCAAGGCCCACUGUAUCUUACAGAUAACUGAGAAGUUCAAACUUCAUUUGGGAGCAAUAGAAGAGAAUAGUACUAGAAGUUUGCAGAUCCCACUCUUUCCCCCUUCUGGUCCUGUUAAAGUCUAGAAUGAAACAAAUUAGACACCUCUUAAAUGGUCAAGAGCUGGGUGGCACUUAAGAAUCUGAAAUUAUAUCCAUAGACACACAUAUAUGUCUGCUUACAGAAUUGCUGCCAAAGGGAUUCCAUUAACUCCUAGAUCUUUUUCACUCUUUCCAGCCUCCUCCUCUAUGAUGCUUUCAACUCUGGGAACGCUGGAGAAGAACCAUCUACCAGUGAGAAGGAUAUUUUUCAAGGCUCAGGGAGGCCAUCUCUAGUGAAGACCCUGGAGGACUUCAGUGUUCUCACCCUGUAUAAGCUCAAGGACCAGAACCUACAUUUGGCAUCACAGCUGAGCAAGAAUUUCUGCAAGAACUGAACCAAGGACUGGAGAGGAAUAGAGAACUCAAAAGUGAAGGUAAAGUCAAGGUGAAGAAAGGCACUGAGCAGAGUGAAGAAUUCCCAAAAAGUGAUGUUAUAAGACUUCCUAGAUGGAAAAUGGCAGCAUCAUUUAGAUAAGGAGCUGAAUUCUAAGAUGAAAAGAAGAUAUGCAUCCUCCCAGGAAUGAGAUGGCAAAACCACAGAAGCUGUCAGUUGAGAGACCAUCCAGUCCAGGGUUAAAGAAAGAAGAUCAGCUAUUUGAUGAUACAGAAAUACUCAGGCACCUACUUGUUAACCUGAUCAUAAUAGAUAAAUCCGUUGACUUUCAAGGCCUGAUAUAGUUUGUUGCAAGACUCAUGAAAAUGAAUAACUACCUAUUACUUUUUAGUCAUGUAGGACCAAAUGGCACUACCACACACACAAAAAAAAACCUAAAAAUGUAUUGCCAAUGAUUAUGAUACUUGGACAAGAAACUAAAACCACAAAGACACAAAAAAAUUGGGUUUUACUCAUUUGCCUAUUAAAGGAAAGAGAAGUAAAAGAGAAAAAUAAUUUAGGAGGAAAGAUACUAUCUUAGAAAGGGAUUUCAACUUAUGAACUAAUGCUUAAAAUGGGGGCAUGAGAAAUUCCUGGACAAAGAUGUAGUAUACCUAUCAAAAGCUGGUAAAAAUGUAUGUCAAUGUCUUUCAAAUCUAAUCAAAAGAGUUUUAAGUUAAAAAGAAUAGGGGAAAGAAAAAGACUGCAUAUAA